rnacentral:tRNA from 1 species
UGCCCCUUCGUCCAAUGGCAGGACAGCAGACUUUGGAUCUGCGAAUGGUGGUUCGAAUCCACCAGGGGCAA